rnacentral:rRNA from 1 species
UACGUAGGGUGCAAGCGUUAAUCGGAAUUAUUGGGCGUAAAGGGUGCGCAGGCGGUUAUAUAAGUCAGAUGUGAAAGCCCCAGGCUUAACCUGGGAAUUGCGUUUGAAACUAUAUGACUAGAGUGUAACAGAGGGGAGUGGAAUUCCAUGUGUAGCAGUGAAAUGCGUAGAGAUGUGGAAGAACACCGAUGGCGAAGGCAGCUCCCUGGGUUAACACUGACGCUCAUGCACGCAAGCGUGGGGAGCAAACAGGAUUAGAUACCCUGGUAGUCCACGCCCUAAACGAUGUCAACUAGUUGUCGGAUCUGUUUAAAGAUUAGGUAACGUAGCUAACGCGUGAAGUUGACCGCCUGGGAAGUACGGUCGCAAGUUUAAAACUCAAAUGAAUUGACGG